GUAGCAGACAGGCAGGGGCAGAAGGCGGACUCCUGCGAAUCAAGCCACCAGCUAAGAUGGUCUGUGGCCAAUUUUUACAGCUGGAUUUUUAUAAACUCCUUCAAGAGCUGGGCGAGGGAUGGGUUUAGGAUGUUGCCAUGGCUGCAGCUUCUUGGGAAAAUAUUGUGACAUGGACACAGAUGCAGUGUGGGAGACAGACAUGGCGGGCAGGACGCAUAGGAGAGAAUUGAAGACCCUCCCUAGAUACUUCUGCAAAGGACACCUCACCACACCGUCGCUGGAUUCCAUUAGCGGUGGAGGGGGAGCUGUUGAAGGGACAAGUCUUCUUUCCCAGAGAAUCCACAGCAAGUGUGUAGGUUGGAGUGGAAAGGGCUCUGAAGUGGGUCUGGAGUAGGGGUGCUGGGUCAGGUGUAUGGAACAUGCCCAUCCCUCAUUUCCAGUUCAGCAGAUACCCCCUGAACAUCCACGUGGGCCAAAUACUGUCCAAGAUGCUCCCCACCAUGAUCCACAGGACAGAGGAUCUCUGUCUUCCCAAAGCCUGGUGAGUCAGGACCUAGAGCAAGGGCCUGGCUUCAGAGCAAAUCUCCCAGGUGGGAAGAAAGUCGUCUUCAUCUACAAACCAGAAGAACGAUUAAAUCGUCACUCACCUCUGAAACAAACCCGGGCAAAGUGAUCUGUUCAAAGAUAACCAGUCAUGCCAGUGUGUACAGAGGUGCUGAGCAUGGGUCCAAGCCAAGGUGCACCCCAGCAUCAGCCAAGGCUAUCCCCCGCAGAAGGCAAUGGGAAUUCUAACUGCUCUGGUGUCCACAGGUCUCAAAGGAGCUCCCCUCAGCAGGCCGGGUGUGGUGGCACACGCUUAUAAUCCCAACGACUCAGGAAGACUGAGACAGGAGGAUCUCAAGUUGAAGGCCAGCCUCAGCAAAUUAGCAAGACCCUUGGCGACUAAGUGAGACCCUGUUUCAAAGUAAAAAAAAAUAAAAAUAAAAAUAAAUAAAAGGACUGGGGAAUGUGGUUCAGUGGUAAAGCACCCCUGGGUUCAAUCCCUAGUACCAAAACAAAAUAAAUAAAUAAAUAUUUUAUCUACUCUAGACAGAUCUUUUUAAGGAAAGGGUCUCUAUUUUAUUUUUAUUUUAUUAAUAAUUUUUAAUUAUUUUAUUAAUGAGGGCAAAGACCGUAACAAUCCCGUGAGCCUAUCCUGCAAUCUAAAAUGUUGCUGCAUUAUACAUAACUCUCAUUUUUGACCAAAAAUGGCCCCCUUGGAUUCCCCCUGAGCAUGAAAAGAAGAGAAAUAGAGAAAGAGCCACUGAUGCAUUCCAUAAUGACGACAUCACCCCUACCAAUGCCUGCUCCGUUUAUUUCUACUCAAAAUGAAACAUCAUAUCUUCACCAAGGAGAUAAAUAGUGAGUUUUAUUAGAAUAAGAACAUUACCCUUCUGCAAGCUUUUCUUUCUUUUUUUUUACUCUUUGUUUGCACUGACCUAGAUUAUUUGCGACAGAUGUGUACAACCGCCAUCAUUUUAUAGAAACAAGCCAUUAUUUUAAAACGCUCAGUCCUAGGAUGUCUUUAUCCCCGAGAGCGCUCUCCUUUCCCUCAGAUCAUGCCACAGAGGAGAAAGGUUAUAAAAGGUUAAAAGAUGGGCGUUGGGAAACAGCUUUCUCUUGAAUGUUUUGUUUUGUUUUUCAUGAUCAGAAUCCGAAUCCAACAUGUUAAGGAACAGCUCUGAGUCGAAUUUCCUUUCCUUUGUUCUUGAUUUUAAUUUCCCCCCAAACUGCACUUGAGCUCCCCAUAUUCUGUCGCUCCCUUUGAAUGCCAAUGAUUUGCACUUCUGUCCUGCCUUUCAUCUAGGGAAUCACAGGGCCAUCUGAAGCCUCUUCUGAUAAACUUCAGAGAGGUGCUCUCACGUUUAAAUCCUUUGGUCCCCUUCUUUUCAGAAUAUGCAGCGAGGAAAGAUGUUGCGGUAACAGAAAUGCCCUCUGUGGACUGGGCUUGGGUGAUUUCCCACGGUGGCUGGACUCCAGGGGAUGGAGUGUGUCUUCUCCUGGGUGCAAGGUGUAGGAUGCGCUUGUGCAAGAGUUGUGACAUCC